rnacentral:rRNA from 1 species
AGUACAGACGAGUUUGAUCAUGGCUCAGGAUGAACGCUAGCGGCAGGCCUAACACAUGCAAGUCGAGGGGUAGAGUUCUUCGGGACUUGAGACCGGCGCACGGGUGCGUAACGCGUAUGCAAUCUACCUUAUACAGGGGAAUAGCCCAGAGAAAUUUGGAUUAAUGCCCCAUAGUGUUAUAGAAUCGCAUGGUUUUAUAACUAAAGUUCCAACGGUAUAAGAUGAGCAUGCGUCCCAUUAGUUAGUUGGUAAGGUAACGGCUUACCAAGACAAUGAUGGGUAGGGGUCCUGAGAGGGAGGUCCCCCCACACUGGUACUGAGACACGGACCAGACUCCUACGGGAGGCAGCAGUGAGGAAUAUUGGUCAAUGGGCGCAAGCCUGAACCAGCCAUGCCGCGUGCAGGAAGACGGUCCUAUGGAUUGUAAACUGCUUUUAUACAGGAAGAAACCUCCCUACGUGUAGGGACUUGACGGUACUGUAGGAAUAAGGAUCGGCUAACUCCGUG